UACAGAGGUCCCAAGCGUUGUUCGGAUUCACUGGGCGUAAAGGGUGCGUAGGCGGUGGGGUAAGUCGGAUGUGAAAUCUCCGAGCUCAACUCGGAAAUGGCAUUGGAAACUACCCUGCUAGAGGGUCGGAGGGGGGACUGGAAUGCUUGGUGUAGCAGUGAAAUGCGUAGAUAUCAAGCGGAACACCAGUGGCGAAGGCGAGUCCCUGGACGACUCCUGACACUGAGGCACGAAAGCUAGGGGAGCAAACAGG
rnacentral:rRNA from 1 species